GGAUCUCAGGUUCUGAAGCCCCAGUGUCAUGGAGGGUCACAAGGGUUAAGAGAAGCAGACCAGAGUCCACGAAGGCUUAGUUCUGUUUCUCUACUUGGAAGGCCUGGGAGACAAGGACAGCUAGCAACGUCGCCUGUGCCGGUGCCGGUGCCGGUGCCGGUGCCGGUGCCGGUGCCGGUGCCGUUUGUCUAAGCAACCACCUUACUGACUUAAAACUCUAUGUAGACUUACAGUGAUGGCCUGGAGUCUUCCCUUCACCAGCUCAGCUUCUUCCAUUCUAGAAGUCAAGGACAGGCAGACGCUGAAGGAAGUCCAAAGCUACCAUAAAUCAAGCCACAGAGGCCACACCCUGAGCCAGUCACCGGAAGAACAAGAUUAUCGCUUUCAAGAAUCUGAAAUCACAAAGGCUUGAAUUACAUUUGUUGAUGGUAUGGGCGAAAACAACUUCCUUGCAUUUAUAUAGAGCCAAUAAUUGUCAACAGAGCAACUGGGGUAGAUGACUGAGGAGUUGUUUCCCCCGCGAUCACGUUGUUGACUGUAUGACUCUUCACCUCUCAGAUUUGGAUUUUGGGAUUCUUUAAAUAACUGUAUUCCCUAAGAACAUUUUUCCACUCCACAUGUGAGCAAUUUGGAAACUGGAUACAACAAUGUGAGGGGCUGGCACUGCUGAGCAGAGGCUAGUAACUCUGAAUUCCAACCACGUCUUCCUUCCAUCCGCACAUCACACACUUCAUAAACCAUCUCCUGACUGUGUGGCAACAUGUCGUGUGCUACAGGCAAAGAUAGAUAAGACAGUGAGCUCAUUUUAUUGAAGAAGACAGAGGCAAGUGGAAGACAGCAAACACUGAAGAAAGUAGAAAUAUCAUUCAAAUCAGAGGCAGGGUAGAGGAAGGUCCAGGCUCAGCCUAGCACAGGAGACAGCUGGACUGUUUGAAAGUUUUAGGUUUGUACAAAUCACAGUUAAAGAUGAGAAUGGGUCAGGUGUAUCAGUGAGGGAAGCAAAGCCAUAGCCCUUACUUCCCGAGAUCUUCAGAGACAAGCUAAUCUUUCCAGGUUCCAAAGAAGACCAUGGAUGAUCAAAUUGUUACAUAAAGGGUUAUAAAUGCUGGUUUAUUAUAUAAGGCAUGUGGCUUUCAAAAAUAUGUCUUCCUGUUUAGCAUAUUUACAUAUGUACUGUGUACACCCAUGCAUACAUACACAGUCAUGAUAAGAACGUUUAUCUCUAGGUAUUUUUUAAUGACACCCAAGUCACAUAUCAAAAUGUUGUCCCUCUUUAUGACAAAAUUACCUAUGGCUAUGUAGUGAGACCCUGUCUAAAAGAAAUAAAAAAAUUGAGAGUUU